UAUAUAUAUUGUAAUGUGCACAGUAUGAAGAUUUGAGCUACAAAUAGUGUUGUUGUUUGGAGACAUGGGUCUGGUUGAGUUUUUAUAACACCCCUUGUGCCUCCAAGCAAUCUGUCGGCUCUUUUCAAUUUGCAGAUCAGGAAGCAAAUCCAAAGAGGAAUCAGAAGAGAAAAACGAGAAUUUAGAUUCCAUUUCCACAUCUGCCUUUUUGUUUUUCUUCUCAUGAUUCCUCUCGUACCAGUGUCCUGAUUUUCAAACAGAACAAACAAUGUGCCCAGAGCCUGAAGAUUGUUUGGAGACAAAGUGCAUUAUAGAACCCUACCGAGAACCCUGUCUCCAAAUGCAAAAAACUAUUAGAGCUCUUAUCUUUAUAUUGUGUACAUUAAAUGAUAUUUACCUCUCACUGGAAUUUUUUUUGUUGAUCUUACAUUAAUGAAAAUAAACUAAUUUAUAUAUAUGUGUGUGUGUUAAAUAGUAAAAAUAGAGGGAUUAAUUAAUUAGACUUAGGCAAACAAACAGUCAAACCAAGCCUAAAAUAUUUAAGGCAAACUACUCUGAGUAUUGUAGGUCUACCUUAAAAUCUGUUUUAUUCUUGUUUACUCUAUGUAAUGUGUGCUCUUUGUGUUUGUAUGUAUGUAUAUUAUUAUGUGUGUGCAUGUGUGAUUAAAUAUUU